rnacentral:tRNA from 1 species
GCCAGUUGAGAACACCUUUCGGUACCACCACCGGGAGGGCUUGGAGGCUCUCCUAAAGCCGGUGUCGCAGGUUCGAAUCCUGCCGGGGGCA